CAAUCUUCAGGCAGAAAGAGGGGAAAGUCUUAGAGAGAGAUGGCCAUAUGCUGUCAGAAGUGCAGCUCCCCGUCACCCCCAGGCAGCCAGCUCUGAUGGUCAAGGACCAGCCUGUCCAUCUCCCAGAAGACCAUUCUGGACAAAGAGAAUGAGGCCGAUAUGUGAAGAGAACCAGAGAUAAAAGAUGAAGCCACAUGGUGGUGCAGGCCUGUAAUCCCAGCACUGGGGAGGCUGAGGCAGGAGGAUCACCACAAGUUCGAGGCCAGCCUGGGCUACAUAGUAAACUGUAGCCUGAAUUACACAGCGAGAUCAUCUCCAAAAAAAAAAGAGGAGGAGGAGGAGGAGGAGGAGG
rnacentral:lncRNA from 1 species